rnacentral:rRNA from 1 species
AUUGAACGCUGGCGGCAUGCUUUACACAUGCAAGUCGAACGGUAACAGGGUGCUUGCACCGCUGACGAGUGGCGAACGGGUGAGUAAUGCGUCGGAACGUGCCGAGUAGUGGGGGAUAACGCAUCGAAAGGUGUGCUAAUACCGCAUACGUACUGAGGUAGAAAGUGGGGGACCUUCGGGCCUCACGCUAUUCGAGCGGCCGACGUCUGAUUAGCUAGUUGGUGAGGUAAAGGCUCACCAAGGCGACGAUCAGUAGCGGGUCUGAGAGGAUGAUCCGCCACACUGGGACUGAGACACGGUCCAGACUCCGACGGGAGGCAGCAGUGGGGAAUUUGGACAAUGGGCGCAAGCCUGAUCCAGCCAUGCUGCGUGUCUGAAGAAGGCCUUCGGGUUGUAAAGGACUUUUGUCCGGGAGCAAAUACCCAGUGCUAAUAACGCUGGGGGCUGAGAGUACCGGAAGAAUAAGCACCGGCUAACUACGUGCCAGCAGCCGCCGUAAAAC